rnacentral:rRNA from 1 species
UACGAAGGGGGCGAGCGUUAUUCGGAAUCACUGGGCGUAAAGCGUGCGUAGGCUGUUCAGAAAGUCAGGAGUGAAAGCCCAAGGCUCAACCUGGGAACUGCGCUCGAAACUGUGGGUCUUGAGUGUUGGAGAGGAUGGCGGAAUUCCUGGUGUAGAGGUGAAAUUCGUAGAUAUCAGGAGGAACACCGGUGGCGAAGGCGGCCAUCUGGACAACAACUGACGCUGAGAUGCGAAAGCGUGGGGAGCAAACAGG